AGCAGCCGCGGUAAUUCCAGCUCCAAUAGCGUAUAUUAAAGUUGCUGCAGUUAAAAAGCUCGUAGUUGAAUUUCGGGAUCAAUAUGUUGGUCGUGCCUCGGUACGUACUAGCUUAUUGGUUUCUCCCUUCUGACGAACCAUGAUGUCAUUUAUUUGGUGUUAUGGGGAAUCAGGACUGUUACUUUGAAAAAUUAGAGUGUUUAAAGCAGGCUUACGCUUGAAUACAUUAGCAUGGAAUAAUGAAAUAGGACGUUUGAUUCUAUUUUGUUGGUUUCUAGGAUCGACGUAAUGAUUAAUAGGGAUAGUUGGGGGCAUUAGUAUUCAAUUGUCAGAGGUGAAAUUCUUGGAUUUAUUGAAGACUAACUACUGCGAAAGCAUUUGCCAAGGAUGUUUUCGUUAAUCAAGAACGAAAGUUAGGGGAUCGAAGACGAUCAGAUACCGUCGUAGUCUUAACCAUAAACUAUGCCGACUAGGGAUCGGAUGAUGUUAAUUUUUUAAUGACUCA
rnacentral:rRNA from 1 species